rnacentral:rRNA from 1 species
AUUGAACGCUGGCGGAAUGCUUUACACAUGCAGGUCGAACGGCAGCACGGACUUCGGUCUGGUGGCGAGUGGCGAACGGGUGAGUAAUAUAUCGGAACGUGCCCAGUCGUGGGGGAUAACGUAGCGAUAGCUACGCUAAUACCGCAUACGAUCUACGGAUGAAAGCGGGGGAUCGCAAGACCUCGCGCGAUUGGAGCGACCGAUAUCAGAUUAGGUAGUUGGUGAGGUAAAGGCUCACCAAGCCGACGAUCUGUAGCUGGUCUGAGAGGACGACCAGCCACACUGGGACUGAGACACGGCCCAGACUCCUACGGGAGGCAGCAGUGGGGAAUUUUGGACAAUGGACGCAAGUCUGAUCAAGCCAUGCAGCGUGCAGGACGAAGGCCUUCGGGUUGUAAACUGCUUUUGUACAGAACGAAAAGGUCUCUAUUAAUACUAGGGGCUCAUGACGGUACUGUAAGAAUAAGCACCGGCUAACUACGUGCCAGCCGCCGCGGUAACAC